rnacentral:rRNA from 1 species
CUACGGGUGGCAGCAGUGGGGAAUUUUGGACAAUGGGCGCAAGCCUGAUCCAGCCAUUCCGCGUGAGUGAAGAAGGCCUUCGGGUUGUAAAGCUCUUUCGCAAGGGAAGAACACUUAGCUACUAAUAUUAGCUGAGGUUGACGGUACCUUGAUAAGAAGCACCGGCUAAGUACGUGCCAGCAGCCGCGGUAAUACGUAGGGUGCGAGCGUUAAUCGGAAUUACUGGGCGUAAAGCGUGCGCAGGCUGUUUUGUAAGUCAGAUGUGAAAUCCCCGAGCUCAACUUGGGAACUGCGUUUGAAACUACAAGACUAGAAUAUGUCAGAGGGGGGUAGAAUUCCACGUGUAGCAGUGGAAUGCGUAGAGAUGUGGAGGAAUACCAAUGGCGAAGGCAGCCCCCUGGGAUAAUAUUGACGCUCAUGCACGAAAGCGUGGGGAGCAAACAGGAUUAGAUACCCGGGUAGUC